AGUGAACGCUGGCGGUAGGCCUAACACAUGCAAGUCGAACGGCAGCACAGUAAUAGCUUGCUCUUACGGGUGGCGAGUGGCGGACGGGUGAGGAAUACAUCGGAAUCUACUUUUUCGUGGGGGAUAACGUAGGGAAACUUACGCUAAUACCGCAUACGACCUACGGGUGAAAGCAGGGGAUCUUCGGACCUUGCGCGAUUGAAUGAGCCGAUGUCGGAUUAGCUAGUUGGCGGGGUAAAGGCCCACCAAGGCGACGAUCCGUAGCUGGUCUGAGAGGAUGAUCAGCCACACUGGAACUGAGACACGGUCCAGACUCCUACGGGAGGCAGCAGUGGGGAAUAUGGGACAAUGGGCGCAAGCCUGAUCCAGCCAUACCGCGUGGGUGAAGAAGGCCUUCGGGUUGUAAAGCCCUUUUGUUGGGAAAGAAAAGCAGCAGGUUAAUACCCCGCUGUUCUGACGGUACCCAAAGAAUAAGCACCGGCUAACUUCGUG
rnacentral:rRNA from 1 species